AUCUAAGUGUUCUCGAAGAGUUCCGUUGCCGACGUACUCGACCACGAUUAAGCGCUCGCCCUCGUGCUCCACCCAUCCCAGAAACCUGACCAGCAAUCAGAGACCCAUCCUGAAGCUUCCCCUUGUAGAUGGUGCCGAAGCCCCCUUCCCCUAUUUGGUUCCGAGGAUUGAAGUUUUCAGUAGCCUUGUAUAUUUCUGCAAUGGAAAACUUUGUGGACAUCAAAAUAUAGCAUAAUUUAGAGACAGGGUCAUGUAGAGAAACAAUUAGUUAGCGGUACACUUAUAAAAAAGAAAAGAGGCAAAUUUUCUAUUGGCUUUGAAACAAACGAAACAAAGGAUGAACAAGGAAGAUGGACUUACUACUCGAAGAUG